UUGGAGAGGAACGUUGGGUGCGUUCCCGGAGCAACAGGGAAGAUGGCAGCCCUCACAUCUCUAACCCAGUUGUCAAGUGGGAACCCUGUAUAUGAGAACUUUUACAGGCAGGUGGAUCCUGGGAAUACAGGGAGAGUAGGACCAACAGAAGCUGCUCUUUUCUUAAAAAAGUCUGGACUCCCUGACCUUACUUUGGGAAAGAUCUGGGAUUUGGCUGAUCCUGAUGGCAAAGGCUACUUGGACAAACAGGGGUUUUAUGUGGCUCUACGACUGGUUGCCUGUGCUCAGAACAGUCUGGAAGUCAGCUUGUCCAGUCUCAGCCUAACAGUCCCUCCUCCGAAGUUUAAGGACACCAGCAGUCCAUCUCUAAGCAGCACAGCCUCUGUUCCUGGUGAAUCGCACUGGGCUGUCAGGCCAGAGGAGAAGAAUAAAUUUGAUGGGAUUUUUGAAAGUCUGGCUCCAGUCAACGGCCUGCUGUCAGGAGAGAAAGUCCGCCCAGUCUUAAUCAACUCCAAGCUACCUCUGGAUGUCCUUGGGAAGGUUUGGGACCUGAGUGACAUAGACAAGGAUGGCCAUCUAGACAAAGAUGAGUUUGCAGUGGCCAUGCACCUGGUGUACCGGGCCUUGGAAAAAGAGCCUGUUCCUGCACUCCUCCCCUCUGCUCUCAUCCCUCCAUCUAAGAGGAAGAAGAGUCUCAGCUCUGUGGCCAGCUCUUUACCUGGACUGCCUGCAAGCCCUCCUCCACCUAAAGAUUCUCUACGUUCCACACCCUCCCACGGCAGCAUGAACUCACUUAACAGCACUGGCAGCCUGUCACCCAAACACACACUCAAGUCUGGACAGCAUUCAGUGAACUGGGUGGUCCCUGUGUCAGAACGUGGCCGCUAUGACGAUAUCUUCCUGAAGACGGAUGCUGACAUGGAUGGUUUUGUCAGUGGACAGGAAGUAAAGGAGAUCUUCAUGCAAUCUGGACUUUCUCAGACUCUUCUUGCCCAUAUAUGGGCUUUAGCAGAUACAAGGCAGAUAGGCAAGCUGACCAGGGAGCAGUUUGCCCUCGCCAUGCAUCUUAUCCAGCAGAAAGUCAGUAAGGGCAUUGAUCCUCCACAAGCCCUGACUGCUGAUAUGAUUCCACCUUCUGAAAGAGGCACUCCACUACCGAGUAUGUCAGGAUACAUUACUCCAGUGGGAUCUGAGAUGGCUGCUCUGUCAGAAAUGAGGCGGGACAGCUCUAGUUCAGUGGGUUCAGGAGAGUUCACUGGCAUCAAGGAGUUGGAUGACAUCAGCCAGGAGAUAGCUCAGCUGCAAAGGGAGAAGUACACUCUUGAGCAGGACAUCAGGGAAGCAGAGGAGGCUAUCAGACAUAAGAGUGCUGAGGUGCAGGAAAUGCAGAAUGACCUGGACAGAGAGACAACCAGCCUGCAGGAGUUAGAAGCUCAGAAACAAGAUGCCCAGGACCGCCUGGAGGAGAUGGAUCAGCAGAAACACAAAUUAGAAGACAUGUUGAAUGAAGUCCGGAUGAAGUGCCAGGAAGAGUCUCAGAUGAUCUCAAGCCUCCAGACUCAAAUCCACUCCCAGGAGUCAGACUUGCUAAACCAGGAAGAAGAGUUGAGCCGGGCCAAGGCUGACCUGGGCCGGCUGCAACAAGAGGAGAAUCAGCUGGAGCAAAGCCUGGCCGCAGGCAAGAUUCAACUAGAGACCAUCAUCAAGUCUCUGAAAGCAACCCAGGAUGAGAUCAACCAGGCUCGCAGCAAGCUGUCACAGAUUCAAGAUAGUCAACAGGAAGUGUCUAAAAGCAUUGAGCAGUACAACAGCACCUUGAAUGGAAACCAUGGAGGCAGCAUGACCAACUUGGCUGACAUGAGUGAAGGCUUCAGUGACCGAGAGAAUGGAGGAUUUCCAGCCAUGGUGAGAGCAGUACAGGAGGACCCAUUCAAAGUGAAGCCAUCUGUGUUUAACAGUCAACCUCAAGGGCUUCCCACUGACCCCUUCCAGUCUGAAGACCCCUUCAAAACAGACCCAUUCAAAGGUGACCCUUUUCAGAAUGAUCCUUUUGCAAAGCAGCCAUCAGUACCCACAGAUCCAUUUGGAGGAGACCCCUUCAAAGAGACAGACCCAUUCAAGGCUUCAUCAGAAGACUUCUUCAAGAAAACCACAAAGAUGGAUCCCUUCUCCACACCAGACCCUUUCAGUAAAAGUGCCACUUUACCCUCCAAGCAACCUACUACCUUCACAAGCAGUGACCCAUUUUCUUCAAGCCAUCAAAAACCUAAAGGAUCAGACCUCUUUGGCACACUGGACCCGUUUGGCAGCAGUUCAUUCAACAGCAGUAACACUUCUGUUGGAUUUGCAGACUUCAGCCACAUGUCGAAGUCCAGAGACCCUUUUGAAGGAAGGGCCACCUGGCUUCCAGACUACCAGAAGCCAGUGUUUGUGGAUGACCCAUUCAGCAGGAAGAAUGACAUGCCGGCUCUGCCUCCAAAGAAAAGUGUUCCCCCCAGGCCCAAGCCACCCAGUGGUAAGACCACGCCAGUGAACAUGACUGGUUCAUCUGACUCUUCCAAACCCUGUGAUCCUUUCAAACCAUUCAGUGGCGAGGUCAUUGACCCUUUUCAGAGUAAAAAGGGCCUGGGAGACCCAUUCAGCGGCAAAGACCCUUUUGUCUCAUCCUCAGCAUCAAGACCUGACAAAGUCAAGUUUGGAAACGAGGCUCAGCAGUUGGAAUGGGCUAAACGUGAAAGCGAGCGUGCAGAACGUGAGCGGCUGAAGAGACUCAGACAGCAGGAACAGGAGGACCUGGAACUCGCCAUUGCCCUCAGUAAAGCAGAGAUGUCCAAUGCAUGACCUGGAGGUCCCACUACAUGUGAAUACUUGUAUAGCCAUAGUGAGGCUAACCUGCAGACAAAGUAUUACGUUUGCCACCCAUCACAGACGCUCCCUUCCUCUGGCUCAUCAUUUCAGUUUGAAAAGAAAUCUUUUAACCUGGCAGUGUUUAAGGUAGAAUGUUUAUUGGCUUAUGAAGACAUAAAAGUAACAGGAGCUGAGAGAAGCUUUAUGCAUUACACUGGUUUCCUCUAAUGUGAUAACUACCUAAUGAAUGAAAAUAACUAUGUCAGGAUAUCGACAUAUUCUUUGGAGUGAGAGUAACGUACUGUAAAAAUAUUCUUCCCGUUUUCAUGAGAGAGGUCAUCGUGUAAAGAGUCCUCUGCACUGACCUGUAGUGCUGUAUAUAGACAGAGCCUAUGCCUCUUCUUGACAACUGUACUCUGAUCACAAUGAUGUGAUAUCAUACCACAUCCAGCAAAUGAAAUAAAAGAUGAGGGAAUUAAUUUUCCAUAUUUUCAACUAGUCUGUUUUUUAUCGAUUAUUUUUUAGAAACUGAUGGUUUUAGCACUGUUUUCAGUUGAUGACUACAGAACAGCAAACACAAGUUGCAGAUAGAUUUCUGACUGGCUGGAAACUGGAUAUUGAAGAGUGCUAAUUCUUAUGUGACAUAGUUUGAUGUUCCAUAACAGCUCACUUUGUUUAUUUUAGGAGUUGUCUCUUGACUUGAACUAUCAACCAACGCUUAAGGGAGACAGAAAUAAGUUGUUUCUAGAGUUUUGUUUUGUUUUUUAUCUGGAAUUUUUUUUUUAAAAACUGUCCCAAAAAACAGAUUUCGUUGAACUUAACUUCUGAGCUGUUACUGCAAAGCAAAGCUUACUGAUGUGAUCUUUAUACUGUAACAUUGCACUGGAUGUAUUCUGAUGGAACCUAAAAAUGUUUCAGUCAUUCUGAAAUCACUUCAGAUUUGUUGAAAUUUAAUGAAAAUAUAAACUCCUUCUAAUAACAGAAAACACUGGCAUACAUUCUGCUUGACUUGAAGUUUAAUACAUAAAAAAAUGUACUGAAAUGUUCAGGUUGCGUCAGAUUUCAAUCCAAAACUAUGAUGGGAUGGUCCCAAAUAACAGCUGGGGGUGUGUAAAGGCUCUGAAAGUGGCUUUGUACUGAGUGAUAUGACAGAAUGACCUCAAAUAAGUGUUACACUUGCUUUUCCGCUCAUCGCAUUGAAAAAAAAAAUGCUGGUACUAAUGUGGUUACUUUCAUGACUGCAACAUUGAAUUGUUUGUUUUUUUCUUCCCAGAUGUCAGACAUGUUGAAACCGCUUUCCAGGGGUCAACAUUACAUAAAUCCUUGUAAUGUGAAUUCACCAAAAUAGGAGUGAAAAGUGAAGUUAAGGUUGAUAAUGCACCCUUGAUUCUGCGAGUAAGAAGUGUAAACUGCCUCUCUCAGCUUUUUUUUAUGUUUACACAUCAAGAGUGUUUCCUUUACUAUAGCUGUUACUGAGCGGUGUCCUUAGUAUGUGAUAAACCUGCCUUCAUCUACUUCUCAGUCAUAAAACACAUGUUGGCUUUUAAGUCUCUGCCGUGAGUAGAAGCCCCCUCGUGUCCGUCCGUUUUCUCCGUUUAAAUAAAACUGUUCAUGAGCUUCUACCGAGCUAGCAGGUCGUCAGCUACACACUUGUUUUCACUGCAUUAUAAAAAGUUACAGUUGACUUAAUUGGUAUCGAGUAAAAAGCUUAUAGUGUGGUAUACUAGAAGUUGAAUAAAAAGCUAUGUGUAUUAUCUAAAAGGUGCAGUAUGUUCAAUAUCUUACUGCAGAAUUGUUUGCCCUUGUUUUCCACAGUGGCUAGUGGUGUUACUUUUGUUUAUUAACCAUAUUUCUUUAAUUCUUACAGCACAUUGACAUCAGAUCAAGCAUGUAUUCCAAUAGCAGUCACCUAACAACUCAUCUACACUAGCUUGAGAAGCAAUGUGAUCUAAGCUUCUUGCUUGAGGCAUCUCUAAACUUGUCACUGCUAAUUGUGACAUAAUAGUCUAACUGCUUCGUUAAGGUGAAGGUUCUUGUUUCAAAUCUCCUUUGAGCUGGCCCCUCACAGGUGGAGUUUGACUUUUCAGCUUCCUGCCACAGUUCAAAGACAUGGUUGGUUUGACUUCUACAUAGGCUGUGAUUUUCACACAAAUAUGCUUCAUAACCUAACAUGCUGUAUACCACGGAGGUCACAAUGUGGGAGAUUUGCAUGUGUUACUGAGCCUGAACAAAGUCUGUAUAGAUACAGUUAGAGGACUGAAGCUUUUGCUAUGCUUCUUAUAACUAUGUGGAACCCACACUGGCUUAAGUGCUAUAGAAGUUUAUUUUUCCCAGAACUAAAGAGAGUGUGUAUGUGGAUGGCUCAGCUGAAUUUUGAAAGCAAAACGUGGAAUCGUUCUGUAUAUUAUAGGGCAGAGAGGUGCGUUAUCUUUAUAGCACAGCUGACAUUCUGUGGCGGUGUAUAUACUUCAACAAGCUAGGAUGUGAUAUGGUCACACAGUAUAACUAGCAACAUGUAGGAGACAGAGGGACCUGUGAUUAUGCCAACACACUCCUUGAGAAGUAGGGUUGGGCAGCAUUUCUAUGGGUUUAAUUCUGACAUUCUGCACCAAUGCUGAAAACAAAACUUGAAAUAUUUCAAAAUUCAGAAAUUGGAGUAUGUGGUGAGAUGGAACGACAUGCACAUUAUCAUUAGCACCAAGAACUAGCAGCACUCGAUACCCAGUCCUUCUGUAAAGGGCUGCAUGUGAUGUGUGUCUGCAAUCACCCCGUCUGCUGUGUACUGCUUAGAGUGCUGUGUUAACGGACUGGUACCAUUGUUCAUACUGUAUUUGUCAUUAGAUACCUCCAUUGUGCAAUAGAUAUGUUUCUUUUAUUGUUGUUUUAUGUAUAGUCUGAAAGAAGUCUAAUUUUUUUAUAUGUUGUGUAUGUUUUUAAUGUAAUUAUUUAUGUAUCCACAGCCAGCCACUCUUCUGACCUGAUUUUCUUCCAAGCAUCAAAAGCCUUUUAUUGCAAAAUCCUUUUUUUUUUUUUUUUUGAGGAAGAGCAAGUAAACAUAAUGUUAAUUACUAAAUGUUAUUAAAAUAUCAACAGUGUUAGCAGUUAAAAAUAAAUAUCAGCUGAUGAUUGAUGAUAAGUGUCAAAAUUACAGCUUAACAGUUUCUUUGUUUUUAAUGUUCAUUUUAUCAGAAUGGUUCAUGUUUUCUUGUAGUGUGAAACCACUGAGUUCUGUCUUUGCUGGCAUGCUGAUGCGUAAUAUUAAGCAGGCAAAACGAAUUCAUUGUGUCAUUCGUCAUUUUUUUGAUUUCUUUUCUAACUCUUGUUGUUGUUGCUCUCUCUGCUAUCGACAAAUUAUUCAGCGCUGUUUUUAUAAAAAUGCAUACAGUGCGUGUACGGUCUCUGUAGUAUCAUGUCUGGUAUAUGUGUCCUAACAGCAUAAACAAACGAACCAGUGAAUUUUAGAGGAAAACAUUUGGAACAACGGCUAGAGAACAGAGGUUUACCUAGAAAAGUGAGGAUCUAUAUGGUCUCUAUAUGGUCUGUACUGUUUACUAGAAUAAACAUUUCCAUUAAUGAAUGCA